rnacentral:misc_RNA from 1 species
AAUCUGCAAUCCCACAUCCUCAAUGGAGGGGACGAGAAACUAGAGUUUGUGCGCCAAUGAGGUUCAUUAUGAUUGUUCGAAGAGUCCCUACCACCUGUAGGUGACUUCACUCUCUGUGGCCCAGUGGCCACACAACAAAGAGCACCCGUGUUAGCUGGCAACAGAAAGGUUGUCUCCUAGUCCAAUCAGGUAUAUUUAUGAGCAAAUGAAGCUCCACAUGUGCAAAUUUAGACACAACUGGAUGUACUGGCACUAGUAGUUUCAAGAUCUGCAGCUCAGCAUCAUCAUGAACAAUGAAGCAAGAAAGCAUUAAAGGUAAGUUUUGGAUCUGAUAUAGGAGGCUACUACGCUCCCAUCCCACAAUGAUUUAACAUAUCUAUACAAAAGCUACUUCAAAUAU